rnacentral:rRNA from 1 species
UACGAGGGGGGCGAGCGUUGUUCGGAAUUACUGGGCGUAAAGCGUGCGCAGGCGGUUUGUUAAGUCUGCUGUGAAAUCCCCGAGCUCAACUUGGGAAUUGCAGUGGAUACUGGCAAGCUGGAGUACGGUAGAGGAAGGUGGAAUUCCCGGUGUAGCAGUGAAAUGCGUAGAGAUCGGGAGGAACACCAGUGGCGAAGGCGGCCUUCUGGACCAGUACUGACGCUCAUGCACGAAAGCGUGGGGAGCAAACAGG